CCUCUUUCCCAGUUAUUUUUUCUUUCUCUCUCACACCAAUCUUCUUUCUCUUCUUCUUCCUUCUUCUAACUCUUCCCCUUCUUCCUGUUUUUAUUUUUUCUACUUUCUUUUCUCUAUUUCAUAAGAUCCAUUUGAUUUCUACUUUCACUUUUUUUUUCUUCCUUUCUUCAGAUUCUUCAUGUUUAAUCUCUGAGGUUCUAACUUCUUUUGUCAUCAACAACAACAAAGGAUUUGUAGGUAAAAUAGAUAGAAGAAAGUUUCAACGAUUCAAAUUUAGACUUAUAAAUGAUAGGCUUCGAAACAACGAAAUAGCGUGAGUUAUCUGAGCAUAAGGUGAGUUUCUUCUUCUUCAGCAAUAUUAAGGGUUCGUCAUUUUUUUCCCCUCAGAUCUGGCUUUUUUGUAGUUACUGAGUCGUGCUGAAGAGAUCGUGCUCCUUAUACUGUCACAUAUUAGAAUAACUCGAUGAAGUUUGAAGAAUAAGAAUUCAUAAAAAUUGGAAUCAAGAAUAAUUGUGAGAAUGCGUGUUAGCUGGAAUGAAAUCAUUUCUCGGGCACACAUGAUAUUGUUCUUUCCUAAUAGUUUUAAUGUUGAAACAAAUUACUGAAUUUAUGAAGUUUGAAGAAUAAGGAUUCAUGAAAAUUGGUAAAUUCCUCUCUUUUAGUGGUUUUUUUUUCUCAAUUUUGUUUUGGGAUUUUUAUGUUUUUCGUAAGGGUUUAGUAUGUGUGAUCUUUUUGUUUAAUUUACAACACUCUCUUUUAUUUGUAUAUGGUUUCAAUUGUAUAACUAGUAUGAUACCCGUGCGUUCGCACGGGUACCCGGUGUUUUCGCGCAUUUGGAUUGAGAAAAAUAAAAUGUAUUAUUAAAA